rnacentral:rRNA from 1 species
GAAAGUCUGACGGAGCAACGCCGCGUGAGUGAUGAAGGCUUUCGGGUCGUAAAACUCUGUUGUUAGGGAAGAACAAGUGCUAGUUGAAUAAGCUGGCACCUUGACGGUACCUAACCAGAAAGCCACGGCUAACUACGUGCCAGCAGCCGCGGUAAUACGUAGGUGGCAAGCGUUAUCCGGAAUUAUUGGGCGUAAAGCGCGCGCAGGUGGUUUCUUAAGUCUGAUGUGAAAGCCCACGGCUCAACCGUGGAGGGUCAUUGGAAACUGGGAGACUUGAGUGCAGAAGAGGAAAGUGGAAUUCCAUGUGUAGCGGUGAAAUGCGUAGAGAUAUGGAGGAACACCAGUGGCGAAGGCGACUUUCUGGUCUGUAACUGACACUGAGGCGCGAAAGCGUGGGGAGCAAACAGGAUUAGAUACCCUGGUAGUCCACGCCGUAAACGAUGAGUGCUAAGUGUUAGAGGGUUUCCGCCCUUUAGUGCUGAAGUUAACGCGUUGAUGCAC